AAAUUGAAGAGUUUGAUUAUGGCUCAGAUUGAACGCUGGCGGCAGGCCUAACACAUGCAAGUCGAACGGUAGCACAGAGAGCUUGCUCUCGGGUGACGAGUGGCGGACGGGUGAGUAAUGUCUGGGAAACUGCCUGAUGGAGGGGGAUAACUACUGGAAACGGUGGCUAAUACCGCAUAACGUCGCAAGACCAAAGAGGGGGACCUUCGGGCCUCUUGCCAUCAGAUGUGCCCAGAUGGGAUUAGCU
rnacentral:rRNA from 1 species